GAAUGUGACUUCAUUUAAAAAUAGGGUCUUUAACCCAUGCUGGAGCAAACUGUGUCCCCAAACCGUUGCUUGGCCUCUGUGCCCAUAGGCUGCUGGCACUGAAGUGGCUUGCACAGUG
rnacentral:snoRNA from 1 species